CUAAAGAAUGAAAAUGGGGCUCCAGAAGAUAAAGAGAAUUUUGAAGAAGCUAUUAAAAAUGUGAAUACAGCACUAAAUACAACUCAGGUCCCAAGCAGUAUUGAAGAUAUAUUUAACGAUGAUCGCUGCAUAAAUAUCACCAAACAGACUCCAUCAUUUUGGAUUUUAGCUUGUGCCUUAAAGGAAUUUGUCGCCAAAGAAGGUCAAGGAAAUUUACCUGUUUGGGGCACAAUUCCUGAUAUGAUUGCAGAUUCAAGCAAAUAUGUAAAACUUCAAAAUGUUUACCGUGAAAAAGCAAAGAAAGAUGCUGCUGCUGUGGGUAAUCAUGUAGCCAAAUUGCUGCAGUCCAUUGGCAAGGCACCAGAAUCCAUUUCAGAGAAAGAAUUAAAAUUACUCUGCAGCAAUUCUGCAUUUCUUCGAGUGGUAAGAUGUUAAUCCUUAGCUGAAGAAUAUGGUUUGGAUACAGUUAACAAGGAUGAAAUUAUUUCCAGCAUGGACAAUCCAGAUAAUGAAAUAGUGUUGUACUUAAUGUUAUGGGCUGUCGAUAGAUUUCAUAAACAACAUAGUAGAUAUCCAGGGAUAUCUAACUAUUAAGUUGAAGAAGAUAUAGGAAAACCAAAGUCUUGUCUCACUGGCUUCCUUCAAGAAUAUGGUUUAUCUGUAAUGGUGAAAGAUGAUUAUGUUCAUGAAUUUUGCCGAUAUGGAGCUGCUGAGCCACAUACCAUUGCUGCAUUCUUGGGAGGAGUUGCUGCUCAAGAGGUUAUCAAAAUAAUCACCAAACAAUUUGUAAUUUUUAAUAAUACUUACAUUUAUAGUGGCAUGUCACAAACUUCUGCAACUUCCCAGUUGUAGAAUAAGCACCCUAUGUAGGUUAUUGAUUGAAAAUGUACUUCUUGUCUUAGUGUGUAAAAUUCUGCUAAAGGAGAGCUGCUAAAUUGUUUCCUGAAUAAACAUUUUUCUCAUUUGUA